AGGAUGAACGCUGGCGGCGUGCUUAACACAUGCAAGUCGAACGAUGAAGCCGGAGCUUGCUCUGGUGGAUCAGUGGCGAACGGGUGAGUAACACGUGAGUAACCUGCCCUUGACUCUGGGAUAAGCGUUGGAAACGACGUCUAAUACCGGAUACGACGCGCGAAGGCAUCUUCUGCGCGUGGAAAGAAUUUCGGUCAAGGAUGGACUCGCGGCCUAUCAGCUAGUUGGUGAGGUAACGGCCCACCAAGGCGACGACGGGUAGCCGGCCUGAGAGGGUGACCGGCCACGACUGGGACUGAGACACGGCCCAGACUCCUACGGGAGGCAGCAGUGGGAAUAUUGCACAAUGGGCGCAAGCCUGAUGCAGCAACGCCGCGUGAGGGACGACGGCCUUCGGUGUAAACCUCUUUAGUAGGAAGAAGCGAAAGUGACGUACCGUGCGAGAAAAAGCACCGCUAACUACGUAGCCAGCAGCCGC
rnacentral:rRNA from 1 species